rnacentral:rRNA from 1 species
UACGGAGGGGGCUAGCGUUGUUCGGAAUUACUGGGCGUAAAGCGCACGUAGGCGGCUUUGUAAGUUAGAGGUGAAAGCCCGGGGCUCAACUCCGGAAUUGCCUUUAAGACUGCAUCGCUAGAAUUGUGGAGAGGUAAGUGGAAUUCCGAGUGUAGAGGUGAAAUUCGUAGAUAUUGGGAAGAACACCGGUGGCGAAGGCGGCCUGCUGGGCUAUGGCUGACACUGAGGCGCGACAGCGUGGGGAGCAAACAGG